UCCACCAUAAGGCUUAAGCAGUCCAUUUGAUUUAGAUUCUAAAAGCAGGGUAGUAGUGACUAACAUGUAGGUUAUGCAAAUUUUCCUCCACUUUCUUCAUAAUAAGAGUCUGAACUUAAGCAGCUUAUCUUAUAAUCCCUUUUAUCUUGCUAUAAAACCUGUCCCAUGCAAGUGCUUAAUAAAAGAGGAAUGAAUAAAUGAAUGAACAAAUAAAUGAAUAAAAGCAAAUGCCAUGUUUUAGACAUGCAGAUUUAAAAAGUUUCUAUACAAAGUAUUAAAAGAACUGAACCAACAGAACCAACUUUAGGCUUUAAACAGAUUUUAUGUUUAAGUUAAUCAUGUAUGUGAGAUGGCAAAUAAAUCAGGGAAAAAUGUGAACCUUAAAACUUGUAUCUCUAGAAAAAUUUCAGUUGGGAGACCACUACCACUUAAUUGUUGAAGUGACUUUAGUUACUCAUCCAUGGAACAGGAAGAAAACUACUUGGCAAGAUUGUCAUGAUGAGACCAUUAAACUACGUACAUGCAAAGGCGGACCAGUUUAUAAACUCCAAGUGCAUUGGGAACACCAUGGAAUAUCUGGGAACUAGCCCAAUACCAAACACAUUGGAGACACUUGAUAAGUGUCUCCUUAAUAGAAAUAUGAGUGCAUAACAUUAAAGAAAGUUAUUCUGUAGAGUGUGAGUGUGUGUGUGUGUGUGUGUGUGUGUGUGUGUGUGUGUAAGAGGGGCAGUGGAGUAAGGAGAGAGAAUUAUAUAGGGGCAUAAUAUACAGUAGUAAAAAUUUACUGUCUUUUCAUAUUCAAACAUUUUUCAAACUUCAUUCUGAUUCUAUAAAUAAGCAUAUGUCAGAUAUGUCAGGAAUACAUCAAAUUUCAGUAUGUACUUAAAAUUUCUAUUUUUUUCACCAUUAGCUGUUUCUCAUUAGAUCCAGCAAUUGAAAUACAUUUUGCUUGUGCUGCAGUUUUCUAUUACAGAUAUGUAAUAAGACUGACAAAGAAAUGGGAA
rnacentral:lncRNA from 1 species